ACGCCCGCCCGACAUUGUCACCAAGGUAAUAAGUAUUCCAUUCUAAUCCAUCCACGACUGACUGUUAUUUCGAUUCUCCUGAAGAAGCAUAUUCGCUUGAUUAGCAUUGUCUUCUACAGCAGUAUUAUGCUCAUGCAAAUCACCAUAGAUAGCAGCAGCUAAUUCGACUCGAUCGAAAAAUACUUACAAAAGGCAAGCUAACAUAUCAUGUACAAAAAUAAGAUUAAUUGAGAAUUUUAGUUGUUUGUAAGACCUUCUAUAAGAUAUUGAUAGUUUGUUAGAACAUUCAGGGGCCGGACCACCCUGCUAUCAAAUGCUAGCUCCGCCACUACCAAGGAGGUAUAUAACUAUCCUAGUUCUGAAAUUUAAAAAUGAAGUACAAAGUCCGAAGACAGUAUAUGUAAGAGAACUUGCAAUAACUGCAAAGUUCCAAGGUCUAAUACAAGAACAUGGAAAUUUGCAUCUGUACAAAAGAUCCCCUAUGUUUGUCAUCGGAAACACUAUGUACCAAAAAGGAUGGCCGUGCCAAAAUCAUUUUAUAUUUAUAUUGAAUGAGAGAAAAUGAUGCAUUGCAAUGAUUCCAAUUAUUUUAUAUUUAUAUCAUUGUAAAACCUCCUCGUCAAGAAGACUACAUACACUUUAUGUCUGCUAUACAAUGUGCAUCAGGACCUUCUAGGUAAAAAUAAUCAGGUGGUGCAACUAUCAAUUAGCUAUGCGAGGUUCUAGCUUAUAAAAAAUCAACUUUGACUGGAUGUCUUAUGGCAGGUAAGAGUAUUCCAGAAACAUGUAUGUCAAAAUGAAACAAAUAAAGAACCAUUAUUGUGCUUGCACAAAAAAAAUAUAACACAGGUAUGAAUGCGAUCAACAUUAAGGCGGAGGAAGGGGCUUUACUUUCAUACCUCGGAGUAGUCUUUGGGAGGCGGAUGACCCGGAGAUAGGAAGCAUAGACUGCAAGAAGCACAAUCAGAUCUAUGCUUUGAGUUACCCAUACUGCUGGGUAGAGAAGGAGGAACCGGAGCGAACAUCACCUCGAAAAAAUGACAAGAAUAAUUUAUUGAGAACUCCAUGUAGUUAGGAGUAAGACUUUUCUGCCUCUAAAUCCCAGUAACAUGCCGACAAACCAUUCACAAAUUUUAAGUAGCACCAUGUAGGUUAUCUAGAAAGAAAAUACAAACAAACAUAAGAAAAUUCUCAACCUCCCCCAUCCAUCAGUAAAGUGAGACCAACAACCACUUAGGUUAGGAGUAGCAUGCUCGAGCCAUGUAGCAAGUGAACCAGUAACACUGGGACUAAUUCAUCUAUAAAAAUAUGCAAACAGGUCGAGAAUACAAAACCAGUUAAAUAAAGGUCAAGAUUACUGCUAGUGUUGUGAACAAGUUCAGUCAUUUUCCCAUUCUCAACCUCAGGGCUCACGCGGUAUGAAUUUCCAUUGGAUAAAAAAGCUAAUACUAUGUUUUUUAGGUUUCCAUCUCUAUCUUUCCAAUACAAAGGCGAAAAAGAGAAAUCCUCAUGGUAGAUAGCUUCUUCGGAAGAUGCUCUUUCUAGAGAGAUGAUUAGAUCAUAAGUAAAUAAGUAAACUUGAUAAAAGCACAACUCCUAGCAUACAAUUCAACUUUAUCCGUAGUAUCUGACUACAUGUGCAUUGAGUUCUACAUGAGAGGCCAUCAUCUGAAUUCUCAACCUCAUGGUCUGGUCUAGUGAUUUCCAAUGUUUGGAAAGCUGUAAGAGGGAGAAUAUCUCUUACAUGUGUAUGUCAGAUUCAUGAAUGCAACGCGGAUGCUUCCGACAUCCUGGACAUCUGGAUGUCCAGUAUUACAGUGGAAUGAGUUGAUUUUGCACCUGUAAAACUGAAAACUGAUUUCUAACUUCCUCUCCUUCUUCUUCAGCAGGGUGAUCUGCAUUGGUUUUAGAAAGCAAUCUAUAUAGCCCCAGUCUUCCAGUCUAUGGCUAAGCUUUAUCUUCUGCUGGUAUGCGGCGACAUCAAGCAGAGUCAUCCUUGAUAAAUGGAUCUGUUUAAGAAUGUUUGUUGUCAGGUAUGGAUUUUAAUCAUAUAGUAAAAAGGCAAUAGGAGAGACACAUGAAACAUAAUCCAUAUAUUUAGCAUCAUGAUUUCCAAAAAAUCAAUUAAAAAGAACCUAUCACCUGAAACUCAAAAGCGAUAACCUCGAGCGAUGAUCCAAGUGUUGAGGCGUCACAAAAAACAGGGCCAUUUUUUAGCCUAAUUGGAGGUUGUAAAGGCCUAGUCAAAGUUUUGUUUUUGCCUGCAGGGCAACUAUUCGCGUGGGGGCCUGGGGCGAAUCGUUCGGUCCAGCUCCUCCCCCAGAUCGACCAAAAAAGUUUGGUGGGGUGAUCGCUCCCUGGCGAAUGUUUCGUUUGUUCCGAGGAGAAAAAAAUAAGCUAAAAUAUAGACAUAUAUGAUUAAUUGGAGCGAAGAAUGCAGUUGCCUAGCCUGCUGCAAUGAGCUAAAAUACAUCAAACAACCGCUAACAUCACUAAAAGAAGGAGCUUACUUUUCCCUUGGGACUGCUUGUUGCAGUCGUCGAUGAGCUCUCUAGCAGGAGUCAUCAGCAUCCUCUUCCUAUACAAGCCAGUGUCGCCAAGGCCACGUCGAGUCAUUUGAAACAGAGACCCCAAAAGCUAAAUAGUGUUGGUUCUCCUCGCUCGGCUCAAUCAAAAACAUAAAGCAAAUAAUCAAGAGCAGCACGAUCUUGUUAAAAAAGAAAUAGAUACAAGUUAUUCGAUCAAAUAAACAAAUGGCGAAGUGGCUACACUCGUGAGCUAAACUUUCCAUAAUCCAAGCAAAUCCAGAAACCUAAGUAAAUGACUGGAGGCCAAAUUCACAUAUGACCCAGCAAAGAUUUACCCUAGAGUUUUACGACCAUUUAGAAUUCGUCUAUCCGUUUUCAUUUGGAGAAUAUAAUAGAGCAAAUGAAAGUGCAUGCUUAAUUUAGCAGAAGGUAUAACCACAGAUUUAACAGGGGACAAGUCUAACCUGGGUUUCAGAGUGAAGAAACAUUCGAAGAUCAAACACAUCAUUGUGUCACUGUGCAUGGUUAAUUUAGCAGUAGGUACAGCAACACUUAAUAAGGGACAUUGUGUCACCACCUAAUCAAUUUUGUAUGCCAGUAGUAUAUACGGUCAAUACGGUCAGGUUAGUGUAACCUAAAAUAUAUCUUGGCAGGAAUGACCGGAUUCACUUGCUUUUAGAAAGGGAAGCAUCAGUAUGAGAUAAGUGCAGAUAAUCUGCAUCUACUUUUAUCAAGCGACUCGAAUCACCUUAGAAUCAAGUAGUUAGCAUCCAUCUUCAAUCAGAAAAACAAACAAAAUUGUCAAACAACUAAACAUGCUUGUGUUGUGCCUACCUCUGAACGUUGCUCCAAAUCCAGUGGAUUUGCCGAAAUCAGAUUUCCAAAGACAACAGUAAAUACACGUAAAAGCAGACGCAAGCCUCAAGCGUAUCCUAAAAAAUACAUCAAGCUAACUAAUGAGGCCUAGGAUCAUUCUCCAGCAACAGAUUAGAAGAGGUGCAAGGCCACAAUAGAUUGCAAACUCUACCACUGCUCCUUGAAUUAAAAUGUGGAAGACAAGAAAAAAUUAAGUGUCCAAAAUAACAUUAUGCCAAAUGAUAAGCAUGUAUGGCAAAAAAAUGAUAAGCAUGUAUCAGGGAAAUAAAAAUUCAGUAGAAGAUUUCUCUAAAGGAAAUAUGACGCCAUUAAAAUUCUGCAACGACUUUUCCAGAAGAACAAAUUGUGCAACAAUUGGAAUAAACUCAAACAUGCGCCGCAAGCUUUGUUCGUCGGAUGAUAGACGAGAUUCAUAGAAUAGUUAAGAUAAUUAGUGCAUCACUGAUUUAGGAAGAGAAGAAAUAGGUCUAGCCUUACAGAAACACCAUUUGUCCCAGUAACCUUAAUAUCAUAGCACAUACACUUGGUUGAAAUAAAAUUAUAGCCUGUAAACCAGCUACGCCACCAAAAUCUUGAUAAACUUAGAAAGUAGAUCAUGUUGAACAACGGAAGCAAGGAAUCAAAGAGGAAAAUGGGGGAAGAACUCACCGGAGCAGUAAGUGUAGAGCAAUCAGGGAUACAGAAUUUUGGCCAAUACCAAACUGAAGAAAAUAUCAAGGUUGACGGCCUCUUCCAGCUGGGCG
rnacentral:lncRNA from 1 species